ACCAGGUCAUUCUUUGUGAAACGGAGGGAGUAUUAGGCUAUUCCUCAAAUUUAUAAAAUAGUUUUCUAACCCCUCAACAGCUUUCCUAUUUCUUUCUAACCCCACAUGAUGGCUAGCGGGGCAACAUCCCGUGCCCUGCAUCUUCUCUUCCUUCUUCUAGCAGCCUAGUUUGAAUGCAUCUUUCAUUGAGCCCGACAUUUUUUGACCAACGACUUCUGUGAAAACGCACCAUCAUUUCUUUCUCCCACCUUCACAAGUCCUGACCAGUGAGUGCUAUCCCGAGAAUAGAACAUUCCCAUCAAUCUUUGGAUUUCACUACUGCCCAAUCUUUUAGAUUUGUUUUGAUUCACCAGUCUCAUGAACCCAACCCUCUUGUACCACCUGGAUUUGUUGGCAUCAUCUCUUUUUUGCAUGAACUUGUGAAUGAGUUAGGGAUGGUCAUCAUUAACAUGCUCUCUCCAUGACCACUGUUGAUCCCACAAGACUCUUCUUUCAUUUCCUACCUAAUAGGUAACAAAGUUGCUAAAUUCUUCUUAACCCUUUAUGAUAUUGCUGAAAAGACAUAUCUAUAAGGUAAUUUUACGUUCUAGCCUCCAUUUCCUUUCCACGACUCUGUAUAUCUUGCUAUCACCUCCAUUCGUAAUGCCUAAUCGUCAAUCCUAAAUCUUUAUAGCCACUUCCCAGGUGGUGCCUUGUUGAAAAUUCUAAAUUUUUUCAUCCAAGCCCUCUUAUAGGUUUCAUCUGUUGAGUCCCUGAAGAAGUUUUUCCUUUACAACAUUUUUGUCACAUUAAUGGGAACUCUGUGUCUUAUUUGAAUGUUGUGUGAUUCUCUUGCGGUCAAAAAAGUGUAGAAACACCAACUCUGGUCCCUAUUUGAAUUUGUUGCAUUAACUCAAAAUGUCGCUAGCAUUGGUCACCCCUAUGAAUUCUAAAAUGAAUUCACAUACAACUGAGUUUUGGCUUAAAUUUUUCUUUCUUUGCUCCUGCUAUCCCAGUAUAAGCAUAUACUGCUGUCGUUCUUUGCCACCACUAACUAACUCUAAUUUUGUUAGCCAUCUGAGAUUUACAGUGUUCUGUGAGCAAGUUUCUCUAUAGUGAAACCUUUCUUUGGCUUAGCAAGGUCCUUUAUCUGCAGGUUAAUUGAUAAUGUAGGUCUAUUGAUAGCCAGUUGCAGUUUAGUUUUCCUACUUUAGGUACUCAAUAGUGCAGGUAGAGUUACUCUUGGUGGGAGUAUUCCUUUAAUUCCUUAACUAGCAGAUGAAAUGAGAGAGGUGCACAGUUUGAUUUUACUUAUCAAAAAUAGUUAUCUUUUUUUAUGACUACAUUGACCAUUUCCACUGUAGAAAAAGUGAGAUGAAUGAGAUUAAUAUGCUUGACAAAAAAUAACGUGGGCUGAGAAGAAUUCAUCCUCUGUUAACGAGAUUAAACUGGCUCAUUUUCACCUUUUGCGCUUCAUUGACAUGAAGGAUUAUGGUUGAUUCAGGAAAGCUGCAUCCUUUGAAAAUAAAGAAAUGGAGGGUCUCAGUACUAUAAGCAAUUUGAAGGAGCUUGUUCUACAUAGAAACAAAAUUUCGGAAAUUAAAAGACCUUGCUGAAGGGGUUCAAGACAAGCAGAAACAAAAUUUGCUUCUCUGUCUAUUUGAUCAGUUGAACAGGCAUCCGACUAUAUUUAGUUGCUAUCUACACAGGUAAGUCUUGAUGUAGCUCAUCUGCAGCAGCUAGAGAUAUCAGAAGCCUUAGAAUCUAGAGAAGUAGAAACAAGGAAAAAUUGCAAUCAUGAUGUUUUUGAUGCCCGACCAACUCAAGUGGACUUGUUGGUGAGGAAUCAGAUUUAUAGGAAGUGGCAACAGAAUCUCUCAUGAGCAGUCCCCGGAACUUUUGCUUCUGUCUGUGAACAACUUUUAAGCUCUUGCCUUUAGUUCGGACUUCUCAAUUUACAUAGAUGCAGACCUGUUAUUUUGAUAAAAAAAUAUAAGAGCUAUGUGUUUUUGGUACAGUUUGUCCAAAAGAAUCGAUAAUAUUAAUCAAGACCAAAAAUGCAGGUCCUGCUUUUUAUUGAUUUGUACCUUUUCAGUUCAUGAUUUGCUUUCAACUAGUAUGUUUCUUCUUUUUCCACUGUAUCCUAUCCUUCUUAGGGGUUAAGAAUUGGUAGGGAUAUGUUAAAAUCCUCUAUAAAUUUCUCCGUUUA